rnacentral:rRNA from 1 species
CCUACGGGUGGCUGCAGUGGGGAAUAUUGCACAAUGGGGGAAACCCUGAUGCAGCGACGCCGCGUGAGUGAAGAAGUAUUUCGGUUUGUAAAGUUCUAUCAGCAGGGAAGAUAAUGACGUUACUUACCUAAGAAGCCCCGGCUAAUUCCGUCCCAGCAGCCGCGGUAAUACGCAGGGGGCAAGCGUUAUCCGGAUUUACUGGGGGUAAAGGGUGCGUAGGUGGCAGGGCAAGUCAGAUGUGAAAGCCCGGGGCUCAACCCCGGUACUGCAAUUGAAACUGUCCAGCUGGAGUGCAGUAGAGGUAAGCGGAAUUCCUAGUGUAGCGGUGAAAUGCGUAGAGAUUAGGAGGAACACCAGUGGCGAAGGCGGCUUACUGGACUGUAACUGACACUGAGGCACGAAAGCGUGGGGAGCAAACAGGAUUAGAUACCCCAGUAGUC